AUACAGGGUAGAGGUUGCGAAAAUCACUAGUAAUUGCUGGGAAGCGGUCAAAGCCGCUUGCGAUCAGCAAGGAACAGGAUGCUCGCCGAAGUCUGAACUACUUUGAUUCGUUUGGGCUGGGUCAAUUGACGAAAGGCAAUUGGACUGCUGCUAGAAAAAGUCUGAUUCUAAGCAGGUGCGCUAUCUGACAA
rfam:Listeria grayi DSM 20601 genomic scaffold SCAFFOLD2, whole genome shotgun sequence.